rnacentral:tRNA from 1 species
GCGCCUGUAGCUCAGUUGGAUAGAGCAACGGAUUUCUAAUCCGUAGGUCGCAGGUUCGAAUCCUGCCAGGCGCA